rnacentral:rRNA from 1 species
GACGAACGCUGGCGGCGUGCCUAAUACAUGCAAGUAGAACGCACAGUUUAUACCGUAGCUUGCUACACCAUAGACUGUGAGUUGCGAACGGGUGAGUAACGCGUAGGUAACCUGCCUGGUAGCGGGGGAUAACUAUUGGAAACGAUAGCUAAUACCGCAUAAUAUUAAUUAUUGCAUGAUAAUUAAUUGAAAGGUGCAAUUGCACCACUACCAGAUGGACCUGCGUUGUAUUAGCUAGUAGGUGAGGUAACGGCUCACCUAGGCGACGAUACAUAGCCGACCUGAGAGGGUGAUCGGCCACACUGGGACUGAGACACGGCCCAGACUCCUACGGGAGGCAGCAGUAGGGAAUCUUCGGCAAUGGACGAAAGUCUGACCGAGCAACGCCGCGUGAGUGAAGAAGGUUUUCGGAUCGUAAAGCUCUGUUGUAAGAGGAGAACGGGUGUGAGAGUGGAAAGUUCACACUGUGACGGUAUCUUACCAGAAAGGGACGGCUAACUACGUG